rnacentral:ncRNA from 2 species
GUAUCACCACAGGGGUGUCGCAUAAUGCUGCGGCUGAGAUUUGGGCGACAAGCCCACGGACCCUCAAAGCUGAUCUGGAUAAUGCCAGCGUAGCAAGGAGGACUGAUAUGUUUG